CCCCCAGACUCCUACGGGAGGCAGCAGUGGGGAAUAUUGCACAAUGGGGGAAACCCUGAUGCAGCGACGCCGCGUGAGUGAAGAAGUAUUUCGGUCUGUAAAGCUCUAUCAGCAGGGAAGAAAAUGACGGUACCUGACUAAGAAGCCCCGGCUAACUACGUGCCAGCAGCCGCGGUAAUACGUAGGGGGCAAGCGUUAUCCGGAUUUACUGGGUGUAAAGGGGGCGCAGACGGCGAUGCAAGCCAGGAGUGAAAGGCCGGGGCCGAACCCCGGGACUGCUCUUGGAACUGCGUGGCUGGAGUGCAGGAGGGGCAGGCGGAAUUCCUGGUGUAGCGGUGAAAUGCGUAGAUAUCAGGAGGAACACCGGUGGCGAAGGCGGCCUGCUGGACUGCAACUGACGUUGAGGCCCGAAAGCGUGGGGAGCGAACAGGAUUAGAUACCCGCGUAAG
rnacentral:rRNA from 1 species